CAAGUCGUGGGGCAGCAGGUUCCGAGCAAUCGGAAUGCUGGCGACCGGCAAACGGGUGCGGAACACGUACACAACCUUCCUUUUAGUGGAGAAUAGCCCAGGGAAACUUGGAUUAAUACUCCGUAACAUAUAGAAGUGGCAUCACUUUUAUAUUAAAGCAGCAAUGCGCUAGAAGAUGGGUGUGCGGCUGAUUAGAUAGUUGGCGGGGUAACGGCCCACCAAGUCGACGAUCAGUAACUGGUGUGAGAGCAUGACCAGUCACACGGGCACUGAGACACGGGCCCGACUCCUACGGGAGGCAGCAGUAAGGAAUAUUGGUCAAUGGACGCAAGUCUGAACCAGCCAUGCCGCGUGGAGGAUGAAGGUCCUCUGGGUUGUAAACUUCUUUUAUUUGGGAAGAAACCCAUCUUUUCUUGGAUGGCUGACGGUACCAGAUGAAUAAGCACCGGCUAACUCCGUGCCAGCAGCCGCGGUAAUACGGAGGGUGCAAGCGUUAUCCGGAUUCACUGGGUUUAAAGGGUGCGUAGGUGGGCAAGUAAGUCAGUGGUGAAAUCUCCGGGCUUAACCCGGAAACUGCCAUUGAUACUAUUUGUCUUGAAUACUGUGGAGGUCAGCGGAAUAUGUCAUGUAGCGGUGAAAUGCUUAGAUAUGACAUAGAACACCAAUUGCGAAGGCAGCUGGCUACACAAAUAUUGACACUGAGGCACGAAAGCGUGGGGAUCAAACAGGAUUAGAUACCCUGGUAGUCCACGCCCUAAACUAUGGAUACUCGACAUUUGCGAUAAACUGCAAGUGUCUGAGCGAAAGCAUUAAGUAUCC
rnacentral:rRNA from 1 species